GUGGGGAAUUUUGGACAAUGGGCGCAAGCCUGAUCCAGCAAUGCCGCGUGCAGGAAGAAGGCCUUCGGGUUGUAAACUGCUUUUGUACGGAACGAAACGGUCCGGGUUAAUACCCUGGGCUAAUGACGGUACCGUAAGAAUAAGCACCGGCUAACUACGUGCCAGCAGCCGCGGUAAUACGUAGGGUGCAAGCGUUAAUCGGAAUUACUGGGCGUAAAGCGUGCGCAGGCGGUUUUGUAAGACAGGCGUGAAAUCCCCGGGCUCAACCUGGGAAUUGCGCUUGUGACUGCAAGGCUGGAGUGCGGCAGAGGGGGAUGGAAUUCCGCGUGUAGCAGUGAAAUGCGUAGAGAUGCGGAGGAACACCGAUGGCGAAGGCAGCCUCCUGGGAUAACACUGACGCUCAGGCACGAAAGCGUGGGGAGCAAACAGGAUUAGAUACCCUGGUAGUCC
rnacentral:rRNA from 1 species